rnacentral:rRNA from 1 species
AUUGAACGCUGGCGGCAGGCUUAACACAUGCAAGUCGAGCGAGCGGCGGACGGGUGAGUAAUGUCUGGGAAACUGCCUGAUGGAGGGGGAUAACUACUGGAAACGGUAGCUAAUACCGCAUACCAUCAGAUGUGCCCAGAUGGGAUUAGCUAGUAGGUGGGGUAAUGGCUCACCUAGGCGACGAUCCCUAGCUGGUCUGAGAGGAUGACCAGCCCCACUGGAAUUGAGACACGGUCCAGACUCCUACGGGAGGCAGCAGUGGGGAAUAUUGCACAAUGGGCGCAAGCCUGAUGCAGCCAUCCCGCGUGUGCGAUGAAGGCCUUCGGGUUGUAAAGCACUUUUGGCAGGAAAGCGGUACCUGCAGAAUAAGCACCGGCUAACUCCGUGCCAGCCGCCGCGGUAAUUC